ACCCAGCUGACGAGUCUCAUAUAGGACGAAACGCGCGUCGUGGAU
rfam:Schistosoma rodhaini strain Burundi genome assembly, scaffold: SROB_scaffold0005257